rnacentral:rRNA from 1 species
AUUGAACGCUGGCGGCAUGCCUUACACAUGCAAGUCGAACGGAGUGGCGGACGGGUGAGUAAUGUCUAGGAAUGUGCCCGGUAGUGGGGGCUAACUGCGGGAAACGGUAGCUAAUACCGCAUACUAUUAGAUGAGCCUAGGUCGGAUUAGCUCGUUGGUGGGGUAAAGGCUUACCCAGGCGACGAUCCGAAGCUGGUCUGAGAGGAUGAUCAGUCACACUGGAACUGAGACACGGUCCAGACUCCUACGGGAGGCAGCAGUGGGGAAUAUUGGACAAUGGGCGAAAGCCUGAUCCAGCCAUGCCGCGUGUGUGAAGAAGGUCUUCGGAUUGUAAAGCACUUUAAGUUGGGAAGCGUUACCAACAGAAUAAGCACCGGCUAACUUCGUGCCAGCAGCCGCGGUAAUUC